rnacentral:misc_RNA from 1 species
GAUGAAGAACGUAGCGAAAUGCGAUAAGUAAUGUGAAUUGCAGAAUUCAGUGAAUCAUCGAAUCUUUGAACGCACAUUGCGCCCGCCAGUAUUCUGGCGGGCAUGCCUGUUCGAGCGUCAUUUCAACCAUCAAGCCCCCGGCUUGUGUUGGGGACCUGCGGCUGCCGCAGGCCCUGAAAACCAGUGGCGGGCUCGCUAGUCACUCCGAGCGUAGUAAUACAUCUCGCUCAGGGCGUGCUGCGGGUUCCGGCCGUUAAAAAGCCUUAUUUACCCAAGGUUGACCUCGGAUCAGGUAGGAAGACCCGCUGAACUUAAGCAUAUCAAUAAGCGGAGGA